UCACUGGGAAAGUCAGCAGCAGAGCCCAGAACAGAUCCCCAAGCUCUUGUCUCCCAGCCCAGCUCCCUUUUUAUCAGCCCACACUGGCUCCCAUUUCCCAACCAGCAGCCGUUUGAGUCCAGUUCCUUUCAGGACAUCAUUUUCAUUUUACUGCUUCCAGAGAAAGAGCAGCUGCAAGUAAUUAAUGUUUUAGUAACUUGCUUUUUUCCUGUAGGGUGAUGGAGGACUUGGAGGGGACGUGUCUGCUUCUGGGAGACUAGCUAGAGGUCUUCUCGGGGGUGUUUUGGACACAGUUGGAAAGACUGUUGAUGGUGUUUCGGACACAGUUGGAAAGACUGUUGAUGCCCUGGCUUGAUGAAUUAAUAAGAGACAUGCUGAUGAAACCACAUUUGCUGAACACGGCGAUGAUGCCUGCCAUUACGCUUCCUGUGCUGCUGCCUCUCACCUCUCCUGACCAAUCAAAUGCCGCAUGAGAAUCAUCAGUCGGAUUGACUGGGACUCUAACUGAUCACUGUGCUGUUCAUUGAUUGUGGUGUCUUUCGAUGUAACAGAGGGCAAAGAGCUCUGUCCCUCUGUUGCCCUGGGGAAUGCCAAGAGCUUUGCAAAAAUAAAAAUAAAUGCAACUGCACAAAAAGCUUU